rnacentral:pre_miRNA from 1 species
AAUCUUCUUCCGUGGAAUCUCGCGGAAGACAUUACAACUACGGAAGACAGCUUCUUCCGUGGAAGCUCACGGAAAAUGUCUUCCGUGAGAUUCCACAGAAGAAUAUU